UACGAAGGGGGCUAGCGUUGCUCGGAAUCACUGGGCGUAAAGGGUGCGCAGGCGGCGUCGCAAGUCAGGCGUGAAAUCCCUCGGCUCAACCGGGGAACUGCGUCCGAUACUGGCGGGCUUGAAUUCGGGAGAGGGAUGUGGAAUUCCAGGUGUAGCGGUGAAAUGCGUAGAUAUCUGGAGGAACACCGGUGGCGAAGGCGGCAUCCUGGACCGACAUUGACGCUGAUGAGCGAAAGCUAGGGGAGCAAACGGG
rnacentral:rRNA from 1 species